AAUUAGUUAGAAAGAUUCAAAAGAGUUAUUUAAUGAAUACGACUAAACAUUUAUGAGAUGAUGACAAAUUUAAGCCACUUAUGUUGCUGUUAUUCUAUUUUAUGAACAGUGUUGAAAUCCAGUACACAAUAUUUAAUUUCAUCUGCUGGGCUUUGUUGGUUGAUGCAGGGGGACGCUGCUCUGCUGGACUCACUCCAUUCCCAGUGUCCUUUGCCUUGUUACCAAUGGGAGGAGAACUGGCUUUAGUGAAGGCUGGAACUCUCCAACUCACUCACUCAGCCAUCGUUCCUUAUCUGACACCCCAGAAGUCUGAUACCAGAAAUAUGAUUAAGUCUGAGUCAGAAAUAGCAGUUCUUGGCCAGGUGAAGUGGCUCACGCCUGUAAUCCCAGCACUUUGUGAGGCCGAGGCAGGUGGAUCACGAGGUCAGGAGUUCAAGACUAGCCUGGGCAAGAUGGGGAAACCCCUUCUCUACUAAAAAUACAAAAAUUAGCCAGGCAUGUUGGUGGGUGCCUUGUAAUCCCAGCUACUCAGGAGGUGGAGGCAAAGAAUUGCUUGAACUUGGGAGGCGGAGGUUGCAGUGAGCCGAGAUCCCACCACUGCACUCCAGCCUGGGUGACAGAGUGAGACUUUGUCUCAAAAAAAAAAAAAAAGAAAUAGCAGCUGUUUUGUAUCCACUGGUGCCUUUCUCACAGUAAUAUUUUCCAAGUGCCAGUCAAGACCUUGCCCUUUUUCACAUCCACUGUUUGCAAAAGUGCAAAGGCAACUGCUUCUGAUCUAAACACAUUCACCUGCCAGAGUUUACAUCACGGUUAACAAGGACAAAAUCUUUCUCUGCACCCUGAAAGACGCGUGGCCAAACUUUCAUUCUAGGAAAACCAGCUGACUCCAGACUGGGGGCUGAGUCAUAAGCUCCAGCCUCUUCUCUUUGUGAGAUAAACUUGAAAACUUAUAUUAUGAACAUUUUACAUACUAGUGGAUGUGUAAGCUUUUCCAGGGCAAACAUCACCAACUCUCCACAGAGUUAAGAGUUUCAAUGAUUAAUGCAAGAACCUUUCAUCAGAAACCUCUUGGAAGAGGUGCUUCCAAAAAUCAAGGAAACCACAACUCAAUCCAUUAGUGGUUCUGACUUUUAGAGUGUAAGGGUCAAUGACGUACCACCUAAAAUGAAGACAUAGACACCCUUGCCAUUAAGUUCUUCAUUGAAAAUUCAAUCUAAACUCGUCACUAAUUGAGAUUAACCAGACACAUUAUUGGCAGGAGAAAAGCAGGCAGAAAAAAUGAAGAAAUAUAUAUUGAAGGCUAUUAUAUGUAUUUUUAUCAUUUAAUUCUCAUGACGAUCCUGUAAGAUUGAUAUUAUUUUUCUACUUUGCCAAUGAGCC
rnacentral:lncRNA from 1 species